rnacentral:rRNA from 1 species
UCUCCUACGGGGGGCAGCAGUGAGGAAUAUUGGUCAAUGGGAGAGAUCCUGAACCAGCCAAGCCGCGUGAGGGAAGACGGCCCUAUGGGUUGUAAACCUCUUUUGUCGGAGAACAAAACCCGGGACGUGUCCCGGACUGCGUGCAUCCGAAGAAAAAGCAUCGGCUAACUCCGUGCCAGCAGCCGCGGUAAUACGGAGGAUGCGAGCGUUAUCCGGAUUUACUGGGUGUAAAGGGCGUGUAGGCGGGGAAGCAAGUCAGAUGUGAAAACCACGGGCUCAACCUGUGGCCUGCAUUUGAAACUGUU